UACAGAGGUCUCAAGCGUUGUUCGGAUUCAUUGGGCGUAAAGGGUGCGUAGGUGGCGCCGUAAGUCGGGUGUGAAAUCUCGGAGCUUAACUCCGAAACUGCAUUCGAUACUGCCGUGCUUGAGGACUGGAGAGGAGACUGGAAUUUACGGUGUAGCGGUGAAAUGCGUAGAUAUCGUAAGGAAGACCAGUGGCGAAGGCGGGUCUCUGGACAGUUCCGUGACGCUGAUGCACGAAGGCCAGGGGAGCAAACGGG
rnacentral:rRNA from 1 species